rnacentral:rRNA from 1 species
AACACAUGCAAGUCGAGGGGCAGCAUGAAGUUUGCUUGCAAACUUUGAUGGCGACCGGCGCACGGGUGAGUAACGCGUAUCCAACCUUCCCUAUAGUAGAGAAUAGCCCGGCGAAAGUCGGAUUAAUGCUCUAUGUUAUUCAAAGCGGACAUCUAAUUUGAAUCAAAGGUUGACCGCUAUAGGAUGGGGAUGCGUCUGAUUAGCUUGAUGGCGGGGUAACGGCCCACCAUGGCGACGAUCAGUAGGGGUUCUGAGAGGAAGGUCCCCCACAUUGGAACUGAGACACGGUCCAAACUCCUACGGGAGGCAGCAGUGAGGAAUAUUGGUCAAUGGGCGUAAGCCUGAACCAGCCAAGUAGCGUGCAGGAUGACGGCCCUAUGGGUUGUAAACUGCUUUUAUGCGGGGAUAAAGUCGGCUACGCGUAGCCGUUUGUAGGUACCGCAUGAAUAAGGACCGGCUAAUUCCGUGCCAGCAGCCGCGGUAAUACGGAAGGUCCGGGCGUUAUCCGGAUUUAUUGGGUUUAAAGGGAGCGCAGGCCGGAGGUCAAGCGUGACGUGAAAUGUAGCCGCUCAACGGCUGAGUUGCGUCGCGAACUGGUUUCCUUGAGUGAGUACGACGUCAGCGGAAUUCGUGGUGUAGCGGUGAAAUGCUUAGAUAUCACGAAGAACCCCGAUUGCGAAGGCAGCUGACGAGUCCUUUACUGACGCUAAAGCUCGAAGGUGCGGGUAUCGAACAGGAUUAGAUACCCUGGUAGUCCGCACGGUAAACGAUGGAUGCCCGCUGUUUGCGAUAUAUUGUAAGCGGCCAAGCGAAAGCGUUAAGCAUCCCACCUGGGGAGUACGCCGGCAACGGUGAAACUCAAAGGAAUUGACGGGGGCCCGCACAAGCGGAGGAACAUGUGGUUUAAUUCGAUGAUACGCGAGGAACCUUACCCGGGCUUGAACUGCAGGAGAACGAUCCAGAGAUGGUGAGGCCCUUCGGGGCUCCUGUGGAGGUGCUGCAUGGUUGUCGUCAGCUCGUGCCGUGAGGUGUCGGCUUAAGUGCCAUAACGAGCGCAACCCCUUUCGCCAGUUGCCAUCAGGUGAUGCUGGGCACUCCGGCGAC